rnacentral:misc_RNA from 1 species
GAAAUGCGAUAAGUAAUGUGAAUUGCAGAAUUCAGUGAAUCAUCGAAUCUUUGAACGCAUAUUGCGCCCUUUGGUAUUCCGAAGGGCAUGCCUGUUCGAGCGUCAUUACACCCCUCAAAUUUCAUUAUUUGAUGUUGGGUACUGCCGGAAGGCAUACCUAAAAUUUAGCGACGGUUACAAUCAACCUCAGGCGUACAAACAUCGCUAUGGUGGAAGGUUGGGGCCUGUCCUUAACUAAAAAUUAUCUAAAUGUUGACCUCGGAUCAGGUAGGAAUACCCGCUGAACUUAA